UUUCAAACCGGUGUGAGCCAGGUUGGUUUCUAUCUUUAAUUAUAAAUAAUAUUUUAGUACGAAAGGACCUAAAUAUUAAAUUAAAAAUUUGUAAUUAGAUUAAUAUUAAAUAUUAUUUUGGCAGAUUAGUGCGAUAGAUUUAGAAUCUAUAUAUCGUAGUUUUACAAAUAAUACUUGUUAUUAAAAGAUAUAUUUUUGAUAUUAAUUUCUAGUUUAUUAUUGGUAAUUUGUGUAAUAAUUGGGGUAGCUUUUUUAACUUUAUUAGAGCGUAAAGUUUUAGGAUAUAUUCAAAUUC
rnacentral:rRNA from 1 species